CCAUUCGGGGUACACGAGCGGCGAACGGGUGAGUAACACGUGGGUGAUCUGCCUCGCACUCUGGGAUAAGCCUGGGAAACUGGGUCUAAUACCGGAUAUGACCUUACAUCGCAUGGUGUUUGGUGGAAAGAUUUAUCGGUGCGAGAUGGGCCCGCGGCCUAUCAGCUUGUUGGUGGGGUAAUGGCCUACCAAGGCGACGACGGGUAGCCGGCCUGAGAGGGCGACCGGCCACACUGGGACUGAGACACGGCCCAGACUCCUACGGGAGGCAGCAGUGGGGAAUAUUGCACAAUGGGCGAAAGCCUGAUGCAGCGACGCCGCGUGAGGGAUGACGGCCUUCGGGUUGUAAACCUCUUUCGACAGGGACGAAGCGCAAGUGACGGUACCUGUAGAAGAAGCACCGGCCAACUACGUGCCAGCAGCCGCGGUAAUACGUAGGGUGCGAGCGUUGUCCGGAAUUACUGGGCGUAAAGAGCUUGUAGGCGGCUUGUCGCGUCGAUCGUGAAAACUUGGGGCUCAACCCCAAGCUUGCGGUCGAUACGGGCAGGCUUGAGUACUUCAGGGGAGACUGGAAUUCCUGGUGUAGCGGUGAAAUGCGCAGAUAUCAGGAGGAACACCGGUGGCGAAGGCGGGUCUCUGGGAAGUAACUGACGCUGAGAAGCGAAAGCGUGGGUAGCGAACAGGAUUAGAUACCCUGGUAGUCCACGCCGUAAACGGUGGGUACUAGGUGUGGGUUUCCUUCCACGGGAUCCGUGCCGUAGCUAACGCAUUAAGUACCCCGCCUGGGGAGUACGGCCGCAAGGCUAAAACUCAAAGGAAUUGACGGGGGCCCGCACAAGCGGCGGAGCAUGUGGAUUAAUUCGAUGCAACGCGAAGAACCUUACCUGGGUUUGACAUACACCGGAAACCUGCAGAGAUGUAGGCCCCCUUGUGGUCGGUGUACAGGUGGUGCAUGGCUGUCGUCAGCUCGUGUCGUGAGAUGUUGGGUUAAGUCCCGCAACGAGCGCAACCCUUAUCUUAUGUUGCCAGCGCGUAAUGGCGGGGACUCGUGAGAGACUGCCGGGGUCAACUCGGAGGAAGGUGGGGACGACGUCAAGUCAUCAUGCCCCUUAUGUCCAGGGCUUCACACAUGCUACAAUGGCCGGUACAGAGGGCUGCGAUACCGUGAGGUGGAGCGAAUCCCUUAAAGCCGGUCUCAGUUCGGAUCGGGGUCUGCAACUCGACCCCGUGAAGUUGGAGUCGCUAGUAAUCGCAGAUCAGCAACGCUGCGGUGAAUACGUUCCCGGGCCUUGUACACACCGCCCGUCACGUCAUGAAAGUCGGUAACACCCGAAGCCGGUGGC
rnacentral:rRNA from 1 species